UUACCCCUAAGGCUUAAGUCACUAAUUAGUAAUUAGUAAUUAUUUAAUUAGACUAACAAGUUAAUAAGAAAGACUAACUUUUAACUUAAGUCUAACAUAUCAAAUACUGAAAUGGUAUUAGUAUAUUACCGAGUAGGAUAGUCUAGUACACUAUUAUUCUAUUAUGCAGCUAUGCUAAAUUGACAAUUGCUUAUAUACUAUAUAGUCAUAUUACGAUAUUAGUCAAUCACUCAUGUAGUCAUAACACAUUUCUAAUUAAGUAAUUUGUAUUUAUGUACUAAUCUACUAGUCAAUUAUAUCAUUUAUAAGUUUACACGAUUACAAGUGUAUUGCUUAUACGUACAAAUCCGUAAUAUUACUAGCUCUCUAAGAUAUGACGUCAUUAUAUUAUUAAACGGUCUUCGAUUUUUUUAUUAAUUGCAACGCUAGACAUUUACACGCUAACUGAUUCACAUUUUAUAAUCUAAAGAACUUAAUAUUUUAAUGUGUGUGUUAAAAAAAUUUAUAAAAAAUUAAAAACUGAUAUUAUGUAGGUGUAUAUCGUUUUAUCGGGAUUCGAGAAAUGUAAUUAGUUUUUUUUUGAAACCAUGUAAUUAAUCAAUUGUAUAAAAGUUUGUUUAAUGUUGUUAAACAAAAAUUAAAAAUUUUGAUUAUUACAAAGUGGAAAAUUGAUUUUAUUUUUUGGUUGACAAUUUCUUCAAAAUAUGAAUGGUGGGAAAUUUCCCUCCAAAAACCAAAAGGAAAAACAAAUUUUAGAUUUAGAAUUUAGAUAUUUUGAGUUAGAAUUUCCCUCCAAAAAUAAGAAAAAAACCCUAGCUUCCUUCUCUUCCUUGAUUCUCAGCCGUCAUAUAUAAGUUUUUUUUUUUCCCAUCUUUCUUUCUUCUUUCGUUCUUAGCUUCUUUCUUCCAGUUCUUUCUUCCAGUUCUUUCUUCCAAUCUCCAAGCUCAGCACCUUCUUUCAAUCUCUCUCUAGCUACUCUCAAGCUAAGUUGAAGGUAAAUUUAUACUUACUCAAGCUAAUCUCGAUUUUUUUUCCGAUUGUUCAUGAUUUUGAUUGUUUCCGAUUUUUUUUCUGUUUUUUUUUUUUUUUUUUUUUUUAGCAAUUUAUACGAUUUUACAACCAUACCAUCCCAGCUAUAUGAUUAUGUGAUAUACUAUACUUCGUAUUAAUCAAUUACAUGUAUUUUUUCACUAAUUAAUUUCUUAUACAUUAUCUGUAUUCUAAAAUUGUUUAAUAGCUGAGAUUAGUGGUGUUACUGGAAUCUUAUUGGUAGUAAUGUGUUAAAGAUUUCCUCAAGUUUAAUCAUCUGAAGAAGUAUUUGUGAAUAAUACAAGAUGUGAGAUUGAUCCUUGUUAGAAUUUUAUUUUUAACAAUCUUCUGCUGCAUUUAGACUUAUAGAUUAGGAAACUCUUAGCUAGAACGAAAGACCACUUACUGAAAUGUAAAAUUCAGAUGUAAAAUAGAAAGACCACCCUAUUAUUCAGAUGGUCAUUCAUUUUAAACUCAGAUGUGAAUUCCACUGCUGGCUUUGGUUAUGUGAGGUUAUGGUUAUGUGAGGUUAGCAGUCUUGUUUUGGGAUCUUGGUUGGGGGUCAUAUAUUUCUGAAUUCUUGCUGUUUGAGUGGUUUACACCAAUGUCUGUUCCUUUUAUCUAUUAAAUUUCAUCUUUUCCCCCUGCUUUCCUAUCCCAGACGUUAUCUUGACAUUUUGUUUUUUGUUUUUUGUUGUUGCUAUUUUUGUAGUAUAUCAAUCCAAUUGUACAAAAUUCACAGCAUCCUCUGAAAGCAAACUUAUUGUAUGCAAUUGAAAGGAUUUUGAAGCUCUCAGUGCCAAAUUUGUACGUUUGGCUGUGCAUGUUCUAUUGCCUUUUCCACCUCUGGAUUUUAUCCCAAGUAAAGGCCAUAAAUUAUUCCAGUAAUGGAGCAAGAGUUUAAUGGUUUUGAUGAGCAUUCUACUGUUCAGAAUCAAGAUUCUACUCAAUAUACCACUAGUGGCAGUAAGCGUGGACGAACAUCAGAUGUUUGGAGGUAUUACACCUUUUUUGAUAAGAUGGUUGGUCUUGCUCCGAUAAAAUAUGCUCGAUGCAAUGUUUGUGGUAAUGAAUAUAAAACACCAGGUAAUGCUGGUACUUCAACUUGUAAAGCUCAUACUAAGACAUGCAUGAGUAAAAAUCCACACCAUCCUGGAAAUAAUGAAAGUGGUGUUGAGCUCCCGUUUAA